GGGGCGGCGGCGCCGGUCAGCUCCGCAGCAGAGGCCCUGCUCUGCGCUCCGGCACACACACCUUCUGCUUUCUGUUUCUGUAUUUACCAGGAUCUCACUUCUGUACCUCCUCAGAAGAAAAAGGAAGAAAACUGCUCCAGUCUUCAGCUGUGUAAGCCUUCAGAGAGAUAAACAGGGCUGCCCCUUCCUCCUCUGUAAAGACGUGGGAAGCCAGGAAUGGCGCGCAUGUGAAUGAAUCCACCUGCUCUGAUGCUGCAGGCAGUGAGGUUCUGAGUGUGAAUCCUGGGAAAUGGCGUCCAGGCAGAGGCCACGUGGGCGAGGGCCACUCUGUCGCUCUGAGGAGCUCGUGAAAGCUACUGUGUGAAUGAUGUGGCUCCCCCUCCACGCGGGAAACUGUGAGGGGCGCCUGACCACGCCGUGACAAACCAGGUGGUGGUGGGAGGCACCGUCCAGGUGUGUUGCCAUGGUGUCAGCCUGUGUCCUGCACACCAAGAAGUCACCAGAGGGCAUUCUGCUCCUUGAGGAGGUGCGCCUGUGGUCGGCACUGUGCUCUGGGCGCUUUAACUUCAUGAUUCAAGCACGGCCCCUCUUCCUUCCCUCUGAGCCUGCCUCACACAUUCACUGCACACAAAGGAUUGCCCCUAGGAGGCUGAGGCAGGAGGACUGCAAGUUGGAGUCUAGCUUGUGCAACUUAUCCACCAGGUCACUCAAGUGAGAACUACAACCUUGGGAAAUGGACUGAGAUUGUCCACCUCCUGCCCUGUGGACUUCGCAGCAAUCUGAAAGGAAUGGUGUGCUUUACCUCUGGCCUAAACACAGAAAUCAUUUCCCUUUCCUUGCCAAUUGCUGUUGUUGCUUUUAUUUUUCUUCUGCUGAGUGAUAACUUUGGGAAAAGGGAACAAACAGGGCAAUUUCUGAUCUUAUUGGUUAAGUGGUGACAAGAAUUUAAGAGAAAGUGCGACCUUUGUACUCCAUUCUAUGCCUUCCAUUCCCACCUGAAACAUAAGAAAAAAUUUAUACGUGACCAUUUAUCAUUUCCACACUUUGACAAACCCUUUCCAUACUUUUAUUACCAAAACACUGUGAAGUGUACAAAAUGUACAUGAUAUAGAGAAGGUUUUAUGUCGCUUUCCAAACCGACUCCAUUGCAAGAGAACAGAGCAGGCUGUCGGCCAAGAUAUAUCUGUGCAAAGCCUGGUGUAACACGCAAUCUAUUCCAGAUUCUCCCUCUGCCCAACCCGCAGUUGUUUGACAAGUAGACAGAUUUUUAUUAUUUGAACUGGAAAUGUCCUUUUGAUAAAUUUGUACACAUUUAAGCUUUACUUACAGAAGGCAUCUGCUUCAAGUAUUUUCCAGGAAAAGUGAUAUGUUGAAUCUCAGAAAGGUCUUUUCCACUGGUAAUAUUUAUCAAAAAGUAAAUCACAAUAAAGUCGUGUAUUAAUGGCC
ensembl:lncRNA